UACGUAGGGUGCAAGCGUUGUCCGGAAUUACUGGGCGUAAAGAGCUCGUAGGCGGUUUGUCGCGUCGUCUGUGAAAACCAGACAGCUCAACUGUUGGCUUGCAGGCGAUACGGGCAGACUUGAGUAUUUCAGGGGAGACUGGAAUUCCUGGUGUAGCGGUGAAAUGCGCAGAUAUCAGGAGGAACACCGGUGGGCGAAGGCGGG
rnacentral:rRNA from 1 species